GAGGCCCCCAGGGCUGGCUGCCAUCACAAGGCCUAGUUGGUGAGCUCCAGGACAACGAAGAGAUCCUGUCUCAGAAGAGCAACCAAGGAAGACACCUGAGGUUAACCUUUGGGUUCCACAUACAUAAAAAGCAGAGAAUUGCCGCAGUACUGAUAAAAACAAAAAACCAAACAAAAACAAAACCAGGAGCAGAAGGGUCGGUGUCCAUCUCUGCAAAGAGCUUCUCAGUGCUGGGCCCUCACGAAGAUGGAGCUUCUCUGCUAGGUCACAAUGCAGCCCUGUCCUCUGUGUGGAUACACUGUGUGGUGAGGCCUCUCCUCGUGUCUUGCCAAAGCUAUCUGAUUGCAGCCUCCUGUGGGAGGAACAAGCUCUCUUGUAUCACUCUUUGUGAUGGAGACAGUCUCACAAUGAGAUCUCUGCCUCUCUCCAUUUCUAUCUUUACCUUGGGUGAGUAGAGGGAACAGGCUAGGAAGGAGCACCAGAGAGGAGGAAGACAGGAGUCCUGGACAGUCAAGAGGGGAAGGCAUGUAAGGAAAUCUGCCUGGGCGUCAAGUGCGAAGCCUGGUGGCUCACCACCUCAUGUGGGGAUAUGAGUGGACUUUAGAGAAGCAGCCACAGUUGAUACCGAGAAAGAAACCCAAGAUGCCUGUCGUGGAAGGAGGGGUGGGUGGUGGGCUCAUCUAGGCACACAGAUAGGGCAGUAGGGUAGAGAAGCAGAUCGAGAAGAAUAUACUGUGUCAACAAAUAAACGCUGCCGCCAGUGGCCAAAGAACCCAUACAGAGGAACCAGGAAAGGGUGCAGAGGCAUGACUACCCUGCAUGCAAGAGGUCGGGGAGGAGAGCCCUGUAUGAGUGACUGACUGCACCAUGGGAGGAAUUCAAGAUCAAACUGCUCCAGUGACCUCCCUGAAGCCAGGGCAGGAGGAUUCGUGUCCCCUCUGAUCUGUGUCCACCUUUUCUGUGUGGUCACAAGAAAUACUUGUUACAAUAACAGGGGUUCUGUUUCACUAUGGCCACAUGAGCAGGGACGACACUAAAAGAGUCAGCCCAUAUGAACGUCCCUUUUCCUCUGACAUUGUGGACUGCACAGUGUCAAAACCCAUGUCGAUGUGUUACCCCUAGCACCCAUGGCACAAGCCCAUGUGGAAACAGGGCUGUUAUGGUUUGAAUCUGAGAUGCCCCCCACCAAGGCCCCAGCUGAGUUACUGUUGUGGGAGAUUAUGAAAACUUAGGAAAGUGAAACC